rnacentral:rRNA from 1 species
GAUGAACGCUGGCGGCGUGCCUAAUACAUGCAAGUCGAGCGAACAGACGAGGAGCUUGCUCCUCUGACGUUAGCGGCGGACGGGUGAGUAACACGUGGAUAACCUACCUAUAAGACUGGGAUAACUUCGGGAAACCGGAGCUAAUACCGGAUAAUAUAUUGAACCGCAUGGUUCAAUAGUGAAAGACGGUUUUGCUGUCACUUUAGAUGGAUCCGCGCCGCAUUAGCUAGUUGGUAAGGUAACGGCUUACCAAGGCAACGAUGCGUAGCCGACCUGAGAGGGUGAUCGGCCACACUGGAACUGAGACACGGUCCAGACUCCUACGGGAGGCAGUAGUAGGGAAUCUUCCGCAAUGGGCGAAAGCUUGACGGAGCAACGCCGCGUGAGUGAUGAAGGUCUUCGGAUCGUAAAACUCUGUUAUUAGGGAAGAACAAAUGUGUAAGUAACUAUGCACGUCUUGACGGUACCUAAUCAGAAAGCCACGGCUAACUACGUG